AGAGUUUGAUCCUGGCUCAGGACGAACGCUGGCGGCGUGCCUAAUACAUGCAAGUCGAGCGGACAGAUGGGAGCUUGCUCCCUGAUGUUAGCGGCGGACGGGUGAGUAACACGUGGGUAACCUGCCUGUAAGACUGGGAUAACUCCGGGAAACCGGGGCUAAUACCGGAUGGUCGUUUGAACCGCAUGGUUCAAACAUAAAAGGUGGCUUCGGCUACCACUUACAGAUGGACCCGCGGCGCAUUAGCUAGUUGGUGAGGUAAUGGCUCACCAAGGCAACGAUGCGUAGCCGACCUGAGAGGGUGAUCGGCCACACUGGGACUGAGACACGGCCCAGACUCCUACGGGAGGCAGCAGUAGGGAAUCUUCCGCAAUGGACGAAAGUCUGACGGAGCAACGCCGCGUGAGUGAUGAAGGUUUUCGGAUCGUAAAGCUCUGUUGUUAGGGAAGAACAAGUACCGUUCGAAUAGGGCGGUACCUUGACGGUACCUAACCAGAAAGCCACGGCUAACUACGUGCCAGCAGCCGCGGUAAUACGUAGGUGGCAAGCGUUGUCCGGAAUUAUUGGGCGUAAAGGGCUCGCAGGCGGUUUCUUAAGUCUGAUGUGAAAGCCCCCGGCUCAACCGGGGAGGGUCAUUGGAAACUGGGGAACUUGAGUGCAGAAGAGGAGAGUGGAAUUCCACGUGUAGCGGUGAAAUGCGUAGAGAUGUGGAGGAACACCAGUGGCGAAGGCGACUCUCUGGUCUGUAACUGACGCUGAGGAGCGAAAGCGUGGGGAGCGAACAGGAUUAGAUACCCUGGUAGUCCACGCCGUAAACGAUGAGUGCUAAGUGUUAGGGGGUUUCCGCCCCUUAGUGCUGCAGCUAACGCAUUAAGCACUCCGCCUGGGGAGUACGGUCGCAAGACUGAAACUCAAAGGAAUUGACGGGGGCCCGCACAAGCGUGGAGCAUGUGGUUUAAUUCGAAGCAACGCGAAGAACCUUACCAGGUCUUGACAUCCUCUGACAAUCCUAGAGAUAGGACGUCCCCUUCGGGGGCAGAGUGACAGGUGGUGCAUGGUUGUCGUCAGCUCGUGUCGUGAGAUGUUGGGUUAAGUCCCGCAACGAGCGCAACCCUUGAUCUUAGUUGCCAGCAUUCAGUUGGGCACUCUAAGGUGACUGCCGGUGACAAACCGGAGGAAGGUGGGGAUGACGUCAAAUCAUCAUGCCCCUUAUGACCUGGGCUACACACGUGCUACAAUGGACAGAACAAAGGGCAGCGAAACCGCGAGGUUAAGCCAAUCCCACAAAUCUGUUCUCAGUUCGGAUCGCAGUCUGCAACUCGACUGCGUGAAGCUGGAAUCGCUAGUAAUCGCGGAUCAGCAUGCCGCGGUGAAUACGUUCCCGGGCCUUGUACACACCGCCCGUCACACCACGAGAGUUUGUAACACCCGAAGUCGGUGAGGUAACCUUUUAGGAGCCAGCCGCCGAAGGUGGGACAGAUGAUUGGGGUGAAGUCGUAACAAGGUAGCCGUAUCGGAAGGUGCGGCUG
rnacentral:rRNA from 1 species